rnacentral:rRNA from 1 species
ACGGGUGAGUAAUGCCUAGGAAUCUGCCUGGUAGUGGGGGAUAACGCUCGGAAACGGACGCUAAUACCGCAUACGUCCUACGGGAGAAAGCAGGGGACCUUCGGGCCUUGCGCUAUCAGAUGAGCCUAGGUCGGAUUAGCUAGUUGGUGAGGUAAUGGCUCACCAAGGCGACGAUCCGUAACUGGUCUGAGAGGAUGAUCAGUCACACUGGAACUGAGACACGGUCCAGACUCCUACGGGAGGCAGCAGUGGGGAAUAUUGGACAAUGGGCGAAAGCCUGAUCCAGCCAUGCCGCGUGUGUGAAGAAGGUCUUCGGAUUGUAAAGCACUUUAAGUUGGGAGGAAGGGCCAUUACCUAAUACGUGAUGGUUUUGACGUUACCGACAGAAUAAGCACCGGCUAACUCUGUGCCAGCAGCCGCGGUAAUACAGAGGGUGCAAGCGUUAAUCGGAAUUACUGGGCGUAAAGCGCGCGUAGGUGGUUCGUUAAGUUGGAUGUGAAAGCCCCGGGCUCAACCUGGGAACUGCAUUCAAAACUGUCGAGCUAGAGUAUGGUAGAGGGUGGUGGAAUUUCCUGUGUAGCGG